rnacentral:rRNA from 1 species
GGGNGGAANUUCGCANGGACGAAAGUCUGACGGAGCAACGCCGCGUGAGUGAUGAAGGUUUUCGGAUCGUAAAGCUCUGUUGUUAGGGAAGAACAAGUGCCGUUCAAAUAGGGCGGCACCUUGACGGUACCUAACCAGAAAGCCACGGCUAACUACGUGCCAGCAGCCGCGGUAAUACGUAGGUGGCAAGCGUUGUCCGGAAUUAUUGGGCGUAAAGGGCUCGCAGGCGGUUUCUUAAGUCUGAUGUGAAAGCCCCCGGCUCAACCGGGGAGGGUCAUUGGAAACUGGGGAACUUGAGUGCAGAAGAGGAGAGUGGAAUUCCACGUGUAGCGGUGAAAUGCGUAGAGAUGUGGAGGAACACCAGUGGCGAAGGCGACUCUCUGGUCUGUAACUGACGCUGAGGAGCGAAAGCGUGGGGAGCGAACAGGAUUAGAUACCCUGGUAGGUCCACGCAA